CCUAAAAGGGCUUUGUUUUUUAUAAGAAAAAUUAGCAACUGAAAAAUUUUCACGUUUUCCUCCCCCUUUUGGCGCACUCUACACCCUGUUUUCCUUCUUUUCGCUUCUGCGAGCGUUCUCCCAGUUUGAUGUUUCUUACCUGAAAAUGACGCCAAAAUUCAGGAAUCAGCCGCUAAAAAACAAAAAGUCAGUAAUUCGAUUUUCUCUUCUAUUCCGCAUAAUCCACGUAACAGGAGGGAUUAUGUCACUGGCGAUUGUUCAUACUCGCGCCGCACUUGGCGUCAAUGCGCCGCCUAUCACUAUAGAGGUGCAUAUCAGUAAUGGAUUACCGGGAUUAACCAUGGUUGGCCCACCGGAAACCACGGUAAAAGAGGCGCGUGACCGGGUACGUAG
rnacentral:misc_RNA from 1 species